UACGGGGGGGGCAAGCGUUGUUCGGAAUUACUGGGCGUAAAGGGCUCGUAGGCGGCCAACUAAGUCAGACGUGAAAUCCCUCGGCUUAACCGGGGAACUGCGUCUGAUACUGGAUGGCUAGAGGUUGGGAGAGGGAUGCGGAAUUCCAGGUGUAGCGGUGAAAUGCGUAGAUAUCUGGAGGAACACCGGUGGCGAAGGCGGCAUCCUGGACCAAUUCUGACGCUGAGGAGCGCAAGCCAGGGGAGCAAACGGG
rnacentral:rRNA from 1 species